rnacentral:rRNA from 1 species
GAUGAACGCUGGCGGCGUGCCUAAUACAUGCAAGUCGAGCGAACGGACGAGAAGCUUGCUUCUCUGAUGUUAGCGGCGGACGGGUGAGUAACACGUGGAUAACCUACCUAUAAGACUGGGAUAACUUCGGGAAACCGGAGCUAAUACCGGAUAAUAUUUUGAACCGCAUGGUUCAAAAGUGAAAGACGGUCUUGCUGUCACUUAUAGAUGGAUCCGCGCUGCAUUAGCUAGUUGGUAAGGUAACGGCUUACCAAGGCAACGAUGCAUAGCCGACCUGAGAGGGCGAUCGGCCACACUGGGACUGAGACACGGUCCAGACUCCUACGGGAGGCAGCAGUAGGGAAUCUUCCGCAAUGGGCGAAAGCCUGACGGAGCAACGCCGCGUGAGUGAUGAAGGUCUUCGGAUCGUAAAACUCUGUUAUUAGGGAAGAACAUAUGUGUAAGUAACUGUGCACAUCUUGACGGUACCUAAUCAGAAAGCCACGGCUAACUACGUG